rnacentral:rRNA from 1 species
UACGUAGGGUGCGAGCGUUGCCCGGAAUUAUUGGGCGUAAAGGGCUCGUAGGCGGUUUGUCGCGUCUGCUGUGAAAACUCGGGGCUCAACUCCGAGCUUGCAGUGGGUACGGGCAGACUAGAGUGCGGUAGGGGAGACUGGAAUUCCUGGUGUAGCGGUGGAAUGCGCAGAUAUCAGGAGGAACACCGGUGGCGAAGGCGGGUCUCUGGGCCGUAACUGACGCUGAGGAGCGAAAGCAUGGGGAGCGAACAGG